AUUAUUAAAAUAUAAAAAGAUAUUUUUAGAUUAGUAUUAGAUAUAUUUAUGAAAUUAAAAUAAUUUGGCGGUAUUUUAGUCUAUUUAGAGGAAUUUGUUUUAUAAUCGAUAUUCCGCGUUAUAUCUUACUUAUUUUAUUUAAUUUGUAUAUCGUUGUCAUUAGAAUAUUUUAUAAGAAAAAUAAUUUUCUUAAAUUAUAUAAAAUUUUAUGUCAAAUCAAGGUGCAGUUUAUAUUUUAGUAAAAAUGAAUUACAUUAAUAUUUAAUUAAAUGAAUAAAAGAUUGAAAUAUUUUUUUGAAGGUGGAUUUAAUAGUAAAUUUUAAGAGUGUAUAAAAUUGAUUAUAGCUCUAAAAUAUGUAC
rnacentral:rRNA from 1 species